CACAGAUGAUGAACUUAUUGACGGGCGGACAGAAACUGUGUGCUGAUUGUCAGUGUUCUGAUUUG
ensembl:snoRNA SNORD43 small nucleolar RNA, C/D box 43